AAUAAAUGUAAAAUUUAAAACUAAAUGAUUAAUAGUUAUGUUCUUUAAAGUUAAAUAAUUUGGCGGUAUUUUAGUCUUUUCAGAGGAACCUGUUCUAUAAAUGAUAGUCCACGAUAAUUGGGUCUUAAGUUAGAAAUUUAUAUAUCAUCGUUAUUAAAUAUUUUUUUAGAAUUUAAUAUUUAAAAAAUAUAAUUAUAUUUUAAUUCAGAUCAUGGUAUAGUUUAUAUUUAAGUUGAAAUGGGUUACAAUAUUUAAAAAUUUGGAUUUUAAAUUUAAAAUUUAAAUGAAAUUGGAUUUGAAAGUAAUUAUUUUUAUUAAAUUAUAAUGAUUAAGCUCUAAAAUAUGU
rnacentral:rRNA from 1 species